GGCCCGCCCACUUCCGGGUCGUUGUCUCUGCCGCUCACCGCAUAGCACAGAUCGGCAUUACCGAGACGGCCGUGGCGAUGCAUUUGGGUCGUUUGCCUAUGUUGACCGGAGCAUAGCUGCUGGUCGCAUGGUGUGUGGUGGCAGUCCUCCCCCGCUGCGCCGACCCUCUUCACCCCUCUCCCUCUUUGGUGGGGACUCAAACCGACCGGACUGGAAACCGGUAUCUUGACCGUCACGGCCAAAGUUGGAGGCCGACGGUGGUGGUGGUGGUGGUUCCCUGUGUGCGUGUGAUUCCCAUUCAAGAUUAUUUUGUGUGCACCUCACGUUUUGCUGUGUGAAUGGGGUGUUCCCCUCUUUUUUGGACGUCACUUCCCUUUUGUUGACCCCUCCUCCAGCCGUUGGGCGUGGUGCCAGGCAGGUGGCUGUUGUAAACAAACCAGCGGGUGUGUGAUGGGCCAUGGAUCCUAAAGGUAAAAAGAGAAAGAUAGCUGAGGAGAACAGAGGAUUCAACAGUUCUUGGACUGAAUCAUUUGCUUUCAUUGCCAGUGCGGAAGGUUUGCCUGUAUGUUUGAUUUGUAAUGAGAAGCUGUCAGAUAACAAAAAGAGUAAUGUGGAAAGACAUUUCCAGGGAAGGCAUGCUACAUUUGCAGCCGAGUACCCAGUUGGGAGUGAGAGAAAAAGUGCGAUUGCACUACUUCUGGAGAAAUUAGAGGAGCGCAAAGACAGAUUUAAGAAGUGGAUUGCAUCUCCAAACUCCACUACUGCUGCUAGUUUUGUUGCAACCCGGGA